AUCUUGGCGUGGUUCUUGGACGCCAAGCACGUCAGCGUCAGGCUGUGGAGGACCUCGGCGCACGAGUGGUCAGGGUCUGGCCCCAGGACCCGGCCCUGGGGGUCCUGACCCGGCCCCAGAGGACUCUUCAUGUCAUGCACCUGCAGGACGUCGGGGGCGCUGCCACUUAGGCCGCUUAGCGCUUGCUGGGCGAUGUCGUGUGAUGACAGCCAGGUUGUACAUUUUGGUGGGGCAAGGACUGUCUUUAAAUCCUUUGAAUUUCCCAUGGAACUCAGCCCAAGGGUGUAUCAGUAAAGUGCUGAGGAGGAAAAGAGGCUCUAUUCUUCAUCUAGAAGAGCAAUGGAAGGAAAAUAGGCUGGAGUUUGUGAAGUGCCUAUGCUA